UUAAAAUUUAGAAAUGAUGAAGCUCUUUCACUAAUUCCUAAUAUGAAAUUUAUGAUGGCCAAAGAUAAAUUGUGUUGAUUAUAAUGCCUUUUACAGGGGUUUUCUUUCCGAAAUGCAUAAUUAUAUUAGUUUCCUAGGCCUUCUACAACAAAUGACUACAAAUUUGGUAGCUUAAAAAAUUUUUUCUCGUAGUUGUGGAGGCCAGAAAUCUGAAAUCAAAGUGUUGGUAGGGUUGGUUCCUCUGGAGGCUCUGCAGGGAGAAUCUGGUCCAUGCCUUUCUUCUAGCUUCUGGUGGUUGUCCACAAUCCUUGGAUUUUGUUGGCUGUGGACACAUCACCCUAAUCUCUGCCUCUGUCUUCACAUGGCCUUCCCCUCUCUCUUCUUUAUUUUAUAUGGACAAUGUCAUUGCAUUUAAGGCCCACCCUAAUCCUGGAUCUCAUCUGAAGAUCCUUAAUUAUAUCUGCAAAGAUCCCUUUUCCAAGUAGGUUCACGUUCACAGGUUCUGAGUAGACAUAUCUUUUUGUGGGACAUUUUUCAAUCCACUAAAGUUAUUAAAGGACAUUUCUUUGAAAAAGAAUUUUUAUUAUAGAUCACCAAAUUAUAGUUGUAUAUAUUUGUGGGGUACAAAGUGAUGUUAUGAUCUUUGAAUACAAUGUGAAAUGAUGAAAUCAAGGUAAUCUAUCACCUCAAUAUUUGAUUUUUUUGUGAUAAGAACAUUUGAGAUUUACUCUCAGUGAUAUUGAAAUGUAAAGUGCUCAAUUAUUAGCUAUAUUCAUUGUGUGCAAUAGAUCUCAAAAGUAUUCCUCCUAUCUAACUGAGGCUUUGUACCCCUUGGUUAUCAUCUCCCCAUUCUUCCCACCCCUAGCCUCUGGUAACCACCAUUCUACUCUCUGCUUUGAGUUUAAUUGUUUUAGGUUCCACAUAUUAAUGUAAGUGAGAACAUGUGGUAUUUGUCUUUCUGUGUUGGACUUAUUUCACUUAGCAUAAUGUCUUUCAGGUUCAUCCAUACUGUUGCAAGUGACAGAAUUGCCUCCAUUUUUAAGGCUUAAUAGUUUUCUAUUGUGUAUAUAUACCACGUUUUCUUUCUUUAUUCAUCCAUUGAUGGACACUUAGGGUUGAUGCCGUAACUUGGCUAUUGUGACUAGUCUGCAACGCACAGGGGCGUGCAGACCUCUCUUUGACAUACAGAUUUCAAAUCUUUUGAGUAAAUAUCCAGAAGUGGGAUUGCUGGAUCAGGAGAUAAUAUUUGCUGAGAUCUUUUAAAUAAAAUUUUAUUUUUACUGACAGGUUAAAAAACCUGACUUCUGAGGUAAUAUAAUUAUACAACUAAUGGGUAACUGGUGUUCUAUUCCAUUAUCCAAAGAAAGGUAGAAUUGAAAGAAAGUUGAGAAAUCAUUUGACCUUAUUUUGUAGAUUUGGGAACAAGUUCUAGAGUAGAGUUUUUUGUGUUUUUUGAUUCUGUGUUUACUAUUUUGAGUAUAUCCAUUGAGUUGUUAUUCCAUUAUAGGAAAGUAUUAUUUGGGCAUGUUAAUGUCGACAUGUACACGAACAACUGUGAAUAGAACUCAUCUUUUAACCUAAUUUUAUGUUUCUAAACAUUUAAAAAUAGCUGUAAGUGUGAACAAAUUACUUUCCCCUGAAUAUUGGAUUAUGCUUUCUCUGGGUUUUAAAUGAGUGAGUUUGCAAAGUAUUCUGCUUUUGCAAAUAUAAAAUUGUGUGCAGUUGAAAAUUACAAGUAUAGUUUUGAGUAACAAGUACAGAGCAUUCUUUUGUUGUACUCCAUUCAGUACUUAGAAUGUAGAUUGACAUUAGUUAUAACAAUGAUUAUAAGACAAAUGUGUUUUACCCAGACUUUUUUUAUUAAUUAGAAGGGAAAGCACACUUAAAGAAAUUAUGCUUUCACCAUGAAUUGACUAUGAACUAAAUCCAGGAAGUCAAAAUUGAAAAAAAAAUGUGUAACUUAGGAAAAAUAACUUUCUUGUCUGAUACUACUAAUGCAAGACUUUUGUGUUUAGGAAUAUUUCUGAGAGGAAAAGCUUUCCACUCUGAUCUAGUCUGGCAAAAAUGAGGAAUACAUUCCACCCCAUAAUUGAAGAAGACGGCUUUUUGGAGAGAUCACUGUUCCAGUUCAUUUUUAAAUGUUGAGUCCCUGCUGUUGUAAGAGAUGUUUUGGAGAAAAUCCACAUUCAGAGAGAAACAGGCAGUUCGAAGAUCGUCAUUUGCUGAUGAAUUUUCCAAGAUAUGUAACAGAUAAAAUGAUUAUGUAAGAGAUCACAAACUCAGCACAACAAAUCAUUUUGCCUUUAGUGUUCCAGAUACUAUAACAAACAUCCUCGUGAAAUCAUUCACUUGAAACAACUGACUAAGCCAGUCAUUCCUAGGUCUUUAGAUCCUUACUUAUAAAAACAUUCUCUUUGUGUUUUGAACUUUUUUUCAAGAGUUGUCAAGUAGAUAUUUUUAUCAUGAAUUUUAGCAAAUUAAACAACUGAAUUUCUUGAUUAAAAGAUGGUUAUGAAAAAAAUAUAUUGCCCUGUAGAGAACCUGUGGAGACUUGCAGUUAUUGUUACUAAAGUCUGUGAGUAGGAUUAUUGUGGAGAGUAUCAUAAAAAGAUUUAGUCCAUAAAUUGUUUUAGGUUCGUGAAUAAAUCAUUUUGAGCUGA